AGGACUUAUUCUUAGAGUAAUAAUGAUGACUUUUGACUGAAAUCAUCCAGUAUUCCAUCAUAAAGAAAUGCUAAAUGAAUGCAGGAAACUGCCUCCAGCUGAACUGAGCUGUAUCGGAAUGCACAAAAUGCACACACGCCUCAAACAUCCUCCAGCUGCCUCCAUUCACCAGGUGUAUGAUGAGCCAUACUCAUCCACAUCUGGGCUUGCAAGGUUCCGUCCUCGAAAACCCUCCAUUGACAUUUCUCAAUAGCUCACAAGCUGCGACAGUCAACCCCCGUGAACAAACUUCAACCCUUUUUCUAGCGAGGUGGUGGUUUCUGCUGGAGGCAUUCUUUCCAGGAAUGUAACUCGGGUCAUCACCAUGAAAGCACGGUGCUCUAGUCACCCACAAAGGGGAUUUAUGGAUACAUUUCAAGAAUUUCUCUAAUGGACUGUGCCUGAAGACUAUCUGUUCUGUGUAGGAAUGAAGCCUGGGAACCGAAGAAGGCUUCUAGCCAGGGAGAACAGACUGAUGACAAGAAAACCAAGGUUCUAAAAAGCAGAACAUUGAAUGAUUGGGUGAUCUGCCUGUACAGCCUGACCAGUUCUCUCCACAACAGGAAAUUUCCUCCAUUGCCAAUAUCAUUGGAUUAGAACAAAACAGUCUGUGCAGAUACAGUCUGAUACUCCAUGAAAGGAUUGGACCCCAAUGAUGUUGCGUCUGACACAUGGAUUUGGGAGAUGGAGAUGAGAAUUGGGAAAAGGGAGAAAUCUGGAAAGAACCAUACCAACCUAGGUAAAAUGCUGGAGUCUUUUCCAGAACAUCAGCAGGAAUUUGAAACCUCCAUGAAGUGGAAUCCAUGAGGCUAGCCCACUACCCUGUGCAUCCAAGAUCAUCUCUGCCUCCCUUCCUGCCCUCUAAAAAUGUGAAAUGUACACGGGUCGCUGACUCUGGAGCUCUCUCACAGAUGGUUUCUGCGUAGGAGUAUUGCGCACACCAAGCUCACUUAGCACCUGCUUUUUACGAUGUGAAAACUGCACAUCCAUCAUAUGAGCGUCACCUCAAAUUAUAUAAUUUUUUCUCACAAAGUGGAAAAAAGAGGUUUCAGAAUAUGCAUUCAACUUCUGCUGGCCUCCUAGAGGAGCAAGAUGGGUCAAGAAUUAGGUCAUAACAUUGGGGAACUCUGGAGGCAAAGGCCCUCUCAGGCUGCUAUGGAUGCCACUCUCCUUUGGUUGCUGCAUCCACACUCUUGUCCUCACUGCUGCAGCAGGGCCAGCUGCCGAUGUGCUCAGAUUUGUGAAUUUACUCAUGUAUUAAAGUAUUUGC